rnacentral:rRNA from 1 species
GCUAACGUCCGUCGUGAAGAGGGAAACAACCCAGACCGCCAGCUAAGGUCCCAAAGUCAUGGUUAAGUGGGAAACGAUGUGGGAAGGCCCAGACAGCCAGGAUGUUGGCUUAGAAGCAGCCAUCAUUUAAAGAAAGCGUAAUAGCUCACUGGUCGAGUCGGCCUGCGCGGAAGAUGUAACGGGGCUAAACCAUGCACCGAAGCUGCGGCAGCGACGCUUAUGCGUUGUUGGGUAGGGGAGCGUUCUGUAAGCCUGUGAAGGUGUGCUGUGAGGCAUGCUGGAGGUAUCAGAAGUGCGAAUGCUGACAUAAGUAACGAUAAAGCGGGUGAAAAGCCCGCUCGCCGGAAGACCAAGGGUUCCUGUCCAACGUUAAUCGGGGCAGGGUGAGUCGACCCCUAAGGCGAGGCCGAAAGGCGUAGUCGAUGGGAAACAGGUUAAUAUUCCUGUACUUGGUGUUACUGCGAAGGGGGGACGGAGAAGGCUAUGUUGACCGGGCGACGGUUGUCCCGGUUUAAGCGUGUAGGCUGGUUUUCCAGGCAAAUCCGGAAAAUCAAGGCUGAGGCGUGAUGACGAGGCACUACGGUGCUGAAGCAACAAAUGCCCUGCUUCCAGGAAAAGCCUCUAAGCAUCAGGUAACAUCAAAUCGUACCCCAAACCGACACAGGUGGUCAGGUAGAGAAUACCAAGGCGCUUGAGAGAACUCGGGUGAAGGAACUAGGCAAAAUGGUGCCGUAACUUCGGGAGAAGGCACGCUGAUAUGUAGGUGAAGUCCCUCGCGGAUGGAGCUGAAAUCAGUCGAAGAUACCAGCUGGCUGCAACUGUUUAUUAAAAACACAGCACUGUGCAAACACGAAAGUGGACGUAUACGGUGUGACGCCUGCCCGGUGCCGGAAGGUUAAUUGAUGGGGUCAGCGCAAGCGAAGCUCUUGAUCGAAGCCCCGGUAAACGGCGGCCGUAACUAUAACGGUCCUAAGGUAGCGAAAUUCCUUGUCGGGUAAGUUCCGACCUGCACGAAUGGCGUAAUGAUGGCCAGGCUGUCUCCACCCGAGACUCAGUGAAAUUGAACUCGCUGUGAAGAUGCAGUGUACCCGCGGCAAGACGGAAAGACCCCGUGAACCUUUACUAUAGCUUGACACUGAACAUUGAGCCUUGAUGUGUAGGAUAGGUGGGAGGCUUAGAAGUGUGGACGCCAGUCUGCAUGGAGCCGACCUUGAAAUACCACCCUUUAAUGUUUGAUGUUCUAACGUUGACCCGUAAUCCGGGUUGCGGACAGUGUCUGGUGGGUAGUUUGACUGGGGCGGUCUCCUCCUAAAGAGUAACGGAGGAGCACGAAGGUUGGCUAAUCCUGGUCGGACAUCAGGAGGUUAGUGCAAUGGCAUAAGCCAGCUUGACUGCGAGCGUGACGGCGCGAGCAGGUGCGAAAGCAGGUCAUAGUGAUCCGGUGGUUCUGAAUGGAAGGGCCAUCGCUCAACGGAUAAAAGGUACUCCGGGGAUAACAGGCUGAUACCGCCCAAGAGUUCAUAUCGACGGCGGUGUUUGGCACCUCGAUGUCGGCUCAUCACAUCCUGGGGCUGAAGUAGGUCCCAAGGGUAUGGCUGUUCGCCAUUUAAAGUGGUACGCGAGCUGGGUUUAGAACGUCGUGAGACAGUUCGGUCCCUAUCUGCCGUGGGCGCUGGAGAACUGAGGGGGGCUGCUCCUAGUACGAGAGGACCGGAGUGGACGCAUCACUGGUGUUCGGGUUGUCAUGCCAAUGGCACUGCCCGGUAGCUAAAUGCGGAAGAGAUAAGUGCUGAAAGCAUCUAAGCACGAAACUUGCCCCGAGAUGAGUUCUCCCUGACCCUUUAAGGGUCCUGAAGGAACGUUGAAGACGACGACGUUGAUAGGCCGGGUGUGUAAGCGCAGCGAUGCGUUGA